AACUUCGGAGCAAACCAAUCCAAGUAUUUAUCACUUCCGCUCAGGUCCGAAUAAGAAUUGUCAUGACGACCUCAGCAAAAGCCAUAUUGAGCAGUUAUUGGACAAGCAGCUUCUCCAUCAAGUACAUGUUUAUACAAAGUCCGUAUUGUCUCCAUCCCACUGUACGGCUACAGGACGUCGACGCUUCAAACAGACAGAUAACACAAGUUACAGGCCUUUGAUUAAAGGUGUCUUUGAAGAAGGAUCCGCAUCCCCUACAUGAAGCACAAGACAAAGCAAACGUCCGGAACAGUUCAGCAACACUUGUUGGCCCAGUAGAGCUCAUUCUGUCCGACGUUAAAGGAAUAAAGCUUGCUUUGUUUGGGUGUGUCACCAGGCAAGUCUAUAAGUGCAAUAGUGUGCUACAUAGCACGCUGAAGGAAGGUCACCGUCGCGGCCGUAAUAAGAAAAGCUGGAAGGGCAAUGUAAAAGAAUGGACGUCCCUACCGAUAUAUGAGCUACUGUCAUCAACCGUCAACAGAUCUGACUGGCAGAGUAUCUCUGUGUCGUCGUAACUCACACGGCCAGACUGGUCAAUACGCAUGACCGAUGGUCGAUUUGAAAUAUUCCUCAACGGUCAAUGGGGGACAGUGUGUGAUGAUUUAUUUGAUCUGAAUACAUACGGUGCUCAAGUUGCAUGCCGGAUGCUCGGACAACCAACCGGUAGUGCUCGUGUGACAGACCCACUAGCUGGACCCAACACAAUGCCGAUUUGGUUGGAUGACGUCGUUUGUAAAGUAUCUGAACUCACGCUGUUAGAAUGUGACCAUAGACUCAUUGGUUAUCAUAGCUGUACUCAACCCGAGGACGUCGGUUUGUUUUGUGCAUAACUCGUAUGAACUAUAAUAUAAGCACAUGUGCAACUAUGCCAUAAAUAAUAAGGGAUGUUGUCAAUUGCAUGAAACCUAUUAUUUUGUUUUAUGUAAAUGUGCCUUUUUAAUGUUGACAGUUAAUUAAAAAAAUCUAUUUAACUUGAUAUGUUGCAAGAGACAAAAAAGUAUUUCAAAAACCU